rnacentral:lncRNA from 1 species
AGUUGCUGUGGAAGCCCCAUAGGCAGGAGGCCCCCGGGCAGCACAUCCUGUCUGCUUGUGUCUGCUGCAGAGUUCUGUCCUUGCAUUGGUGCGCCUCAGGCCAGGCUGCACUGCUGGGACCUGGGCCAUGUCUCCCCACCCCACCGCCCUCCUGGGCCUAGCAAGAAGGAUUACAUGGAGACAGUGAUGUCGAGGAGGGUUGGCUUGGUCGUUAUGAAAUGCUGAAUGCCCCCCAGCUCCAUCGAGCCCCCUUUUGACAGCAGCCCCGUAAGGAGACUGGGCACUGGGCAUUUUUCUCACUGGGGCUUCUCUUCCAGUGCUCUGCCUGGCCCAGACCAUCCACACGCAGGAGGUGGACGCUGAGAUCCUGCUCUGCUUCCCUCCUAGAAGAUCUGCCCAGACCCUCCAUCUCGGCUGAGCCAGGCACCGUGAUCCCCCUGGGGAGCCAUGUGACUUUCGUGUGCCGGGGCCCGGUUGGGGUUCAAACAUUCCGCCUGGAGAGGGACAGUAGAUCCACAUACAAUGAUACUGAAGAUGUGUCUCAAGCUAGUCCAUCUGAGUCAGAGGCCAGAUUCCGCAUUGACUCAGUAAGAGAAGGAAAUGCCGGGCUUUAUCGCUGCAUCUAUUAUAAGCCCCCU